rnacentral:sRNA from 1 species
CUUCGACUAAGGUUCGGCUCGAGCGUCAGCGAGAGAGCGUUGCCGCAGGCAACGACCCGAAGGGCGAAGCGCGCAGCGCUGAGUAAUCCUUCCCCCACCACCA